rnacentral:rRNA from 1 species
CGUCAGGAUGAACGCUAGCGGCAGGCUAACACAUGCAAGUCGAGGGGCAACGCGAGUAGCAAUACUUGGCGGCGACCGGCGCAAGGGUGCGUAACGCGUGAGCAACAUGCCCGUAUCAGGGGGAUAAUCCAGGGAAACUUGGUCUAAUACCCCAUAGUAAUUUUGUAAGGCAUCUUAUAAGAUUUAAAGCUUUGGUGGAUACGGAUUGGCUCGCGUGACAUUAGCUGGAUGGUAAGGUAACGGCUUACCAUGGCUAUGAUGUCUAGGGGUUCUGAGAGGAAGGUCCCCACACUGGAACUGAGACACGGUCCAGACUCCUACGGGAGGCAGCAGUGAGGAAUAUUGGACAAUGGAUGGAAAUCUGAUCCAGCCAUGCCGCGUGAAAAGGAAGAAGGUCCUAUGGAUUGUAAACUUCUUUUGUAUGGGAGCAAUAAGGCCUACGUGUAGGUUGAUGAGAGUACCAUACGAAUAAGCACCGGCUAACUCCGUGCCAGCCGCCGC